rnacentral:rRNA from 1 species
GGCGGCAGGCCUCAAACAUGCAAGUCUAGGGGGUGUAGCAAUACAUCACCGGCGGACGGGUGCGUAACGCGUGGGAAUGUACCUACUGGUUCGGAACAACUGCGGGAAACUGCAGCUAAUACCGAAUGUGCCCGAAAGGGGAAAGAUUUAUCGCCAGUAGAUCAGCCCGCGUAGGAUUAGCUAGUUGGUGGGGUAAUGGCUCACCAAGGCUCCGAUCCUUAGCUGUUCUGAGAGGAAGAUCAGCCACACUGGGACUGAGACACGGCCCAGACUCCUACGGGAGGCAGCAGUUGGGAAUCUUGGACAAUGGGGGAAACCCUGAUCCAGCCAUGCCGCGUGAGUGAUGAAGGCCUUCGGGUUGUAAAACUCUUUCGACGGGGACGAUAAUGACGGUACCCGUAGAAGAAGCUCCGGCUAACUUCGUGCCAGCAGCCGCGGUAAUACGAAGGGGGCUAGCGUUGUUCGGAAUUACUGGGCGUAAAGCGCGCGCAG